UGAGGAAUAUUGGUCAAUGGGCGAAAGCCUGAUGCAGCAACGCCGCGUGCGGGACGAAGGCCUUCGGGUUGUAAACCGCUUUCUGAGGGACGAGCAAGGACGGUACCUCAGGAAUAAGUCUCGGCUAACUACGUGCCAGCAGCCGCGGUAAAACGUAGGAGGCGAGCGUUAUCCGGAUUUACUGGGCGUAAAGCGCACGCAGGUGGCCGUGUAAGUCGGACAUGAAAGCUCCUGGCUUAACUGGGAGAGGUGGUUCGAAACUGCAGGGCUUGAGGUUGGGAGAGGGACGUGGAAUUCCCGGUGUAGUGGUGGAAUGCGUAGAUAUCGGGAGGAACACCAGUGGCGCAAGCGGCGUCCUGGCCCACACCUGACGCUGAGGUGCGAAAGCGUGGGGGAGCAAACAGGAUUAGAUACCCUGGUAGUCCACGCUGUAAACGAUGUCAACUAGGUGUCGGCAGUUUUACACUGGCGGUGCCGAAGCCAACGCGUUAAGUUGACCGCCUGGGG
rnacentral:rRNA from 1 species